UACGUAUGGUGCAAGCGUUAUCCGGAUUUACUGGGUGUAAAGGGAGCGCAGGCGGGAAGCCAAGUCAGCUGUGAAAACUACGGGCUUAACUUGUAGACUGCAGUUGAAACUGGUUUUCUUGAGUGAAGUAGAGGUUGGCGGAAUUCCGAGUGUAGCGGUGAAAUGCGUAGAUAUUCGGAGGAACACCGGUGGCGAAGGCGGCCAACUGGGCUUUAACUGACGCUGAGGCUCGAAAGUGUGGGGAGCAAACAGG
rnacentral:rRNA from 1 species